CUCUUAUGGAGAGUUUGAUCCUGGCUCAGGACGAACGCUGGCGGCAUGCCUAAUACAUGCAAGUC
rnacentral:rRNA from 1 species